GUGGGGAGGGGGCUAGGCGGAGGCUGGAAGGCUGGCCCCCGCCCUGGGUCGAGGAAGGAGCGGGCUGGAGGCCCGGGCUCGCCUGGAAACUUAGAUUCUUGGUAUGGUUGGAGAUCUGAGGAGUGUCUUGCAACUGACAUGAUUGUAAAAGUUUUUUUUUUUUAAACGUAUGAAAUGAAACCUCUACUUCAAUCCUCCUACUGCGUACAGUCGCCAAUGUCAACAGUGGAACCGAUCUCUUCAUGGGAGGAGGACCGCAAGUUCGUCCUGCGAGCCUGGUGUCUUGUCUUCAUCAUCCUGGCAACCGCGAUGCUGCUCAGCGUGCUGGACGGGCGUAUGGCCUACCUGCACGGCGCCUACACCGGCUACGUGGGCUUCUGGACCAACUGCAAGAAGCAUACAUGUGCCGACCUGCGCCAAGUCACGGUUCUCAUCCACAUGAGCAUGGGCUUCAUGAUCCUGGCCGUGAUCCUGGCUCUAGUUCUCCUCCUGGCCAUGGGCUUCUCCUUCCGGCCAGCACUCCGCCGUCUUAACAAGACUGACCUCGUCUUCAGUACCCUCAGCUCCUUCACUGUCAUGCAGGAUGGGAGAGGAUGUCUCUGGCUCGCUUCUCUUUCUGGAGGUCUCUGGGUCCCUGUCCAGCCUCGUGUCCAUCUCUGGCCCCAUCUCAGUGCAGGGCUCCUGAUUCUCCUCAGCCUGACGCUCUUUAUAGCCAACUGCGAGAUGCUCAAACCGAGGCCACAGGUAUCCUACCUGGUGACCACCUACCUGAGCUGGGGUGCCAGCGCCUUGAUGCUGUGGGCCGGUGAGGGCGGGGUCUCGGCAGGGCAGGGGGUGGGGCCCCGGGCGAGCGUACCAGGCAGGGCCUCGGACCGGAUUGGGGUGGACCCCACGGGAGGUCAGCCUACAGGGAAGGGCCGGGGCCUAGGGGGCCAUCUAGCAGCUCCACUCCCGCCCCCAGGAAUCCUGAGCUACUUAAACUACAUGGGCAUGUGGGGCAAAGGGACGUCCUCCACGGAACGGCGGAUGAGCUACCGCCGGUGGGCCUCGCUGCAGAACACCCGGAAGUCCAUAUCCGAACAGCUGUCGUCGGACGCAGGCUCCAAGCACGCCGAGGAC
rnacentral:lncRNA from 1 species